UCCAGACUCCUACGGGAGGCAGCAGUCGGGAAUAUUGCACAAUGGAGGAAACUCUGAUGCAGUGACACCGCGUAUAGGAAGAAGGUUUUCGGAUUGUAAACUAUUUUAGACAGGGAAGAAAAAAGACAGUACCUGUAGAAUAAGCUCCGGCUAACUACGUGCCAGCAGCCGCGGUAAUACGUAGGGAGCAAGCGUUAUCCGGAAUUAUUGGGUGUAAAGGGUGCGUAGACGGGACAGCAAGUUAGUUGUGAAAGCCCGCGGCUUAACUGAGGAACUGCAACUAAAACUAUUGUUCUUGAGUGCAGGAGAGGAAAGCGGAAUUCCUAGUGUAGCGGUGAAAUGCGUAGAUAUUAGGAGGAACACCAGUGGCGAAGGCGGCUUUCUGGACUGUAACUGACGUUGAGGCACGAAAGUGUGGGGAGCAAACAGGAUUAGAUCCCCCCGUA
rnacentral:rRNA from 1 species